UACGUAGGGACCAAGCGUUGUUCGGAUUUACUGGGCGUAAAGGGCGCGUAGGCGGCAAUUCAAGUCAUCUGUGAAAAUCUCCGGGCUUAACCCGGAACGGUCAGGUGAUACUGUUUUGCUAGAGUGCGGAAGGGGCAAUCGGAAUUCUCGGUGUAGCGGUGAAAUGCGUAGAUAUCGAGAGGAACACCAGAGGUGAAGACGGGUUGCUGGGCCGACACUGACGCUGACAGCGCGAAAGCCAGGGGAGCAAACGGG
rnacentral:rRNA from 1 species